ACAAGAAGCUGACAUGAGCCCUUGUUUCCAGUAUGUGAGUCAUCAUUGCCACCAAUGGUCUGGGUCAUUGGCUGUGCACACACAUCCACAGACAGUACAACAACAGCCUCUAGUCCCUUGUUGCUGACCUUUGGGAAGCUGGGCAUGUAAGAAGCUUCUCAGUCUGGACAGCCAUCAGAAAGAAGUGGCUAUGCCACACCCCACUUCUCAGGAAGUCUGUGCACCAUCUGAGUGAAUACCUAUUGCUCACAGAGGAC